rnacentral:rRNA from 1 species
UACGGAGGGUGCGAGCGUUGUCCGGAAUCAUUGGGCGUAAAGGGCGCGUAAGUGGUCCGGUCAGUUCGUGGUGAAAGCGCGGGGCUCAACCCUGCGUCGGCCACGAAUACUGCCGCGGCUGGAGCACUGUAGAGGCAGGCGGAAUUCCGGGUGUAGCGGUGGAAUGCGUAGAGAUCCGGAAGAACACCGGUGGCGAAGGCGGCCCGCUGGGCAACUGCUGACACUGAGGCGCGACAGCGUGGGGAGCAAACAGG